UUCUGCUGAGCAAGAGUUGGACUUUCCUGCAUGAAUGGAUGCAGCGUACUUGCAGGAUCCAUCUGAAGUGGAGAACAGGCAGCAAUUUAAACCUCUGUCAAUCCUGUUUCUUCAGCUCAGAUUACGGGGAAGCAUCUUACUAAAUGUAAUGAUGAUUGUUGAACUUUAUAAUCUAGACAUCUGUCAGAUGGCAACUGGGCUCAUUUUUAUGUGACACUAAUGAUUAUUGUCUAUAUAUUGACUAAAAUUAUUGGAUGGCUUUGAUAAAAAAAAGGUAAAGGACAUGCUGUUUUUGUUUUGUUUUUAACAUUUUUUUUCUUCUUCCUGAUUGUCACUAACUUUACAUUCUCUUCCUUUCUUUACAUUUUAUCUCUUCUUUCUUUACUCUUGCCAUUUUAUGCCAACCUUUUAUCUUAUUUUCCAAGUGUUCAUUUUUCUUCUUUUCAUAUCUUUCAUGUAACUCCUUAUAUUUUGUGAUUACCAUCACAACUAUUGCCACUGCCAUGAAACCUCUUUUCAUCCUGCAUAGAUAUAUAUAUGGUAGACUGGAACUGGUGUUUUCUUUUAACAUGUUCACCAACCAGAUUUAUGGGAAAGAGGAUACUUCUUUGUAGCGUUUCAUUUCAGAAAAAUGAUGAGUGGGAAUGUUUGGACAAUUUAUGUUGUUGAUAAUCCAUUACAGUAACACAUCUUUCCUGCUAAUGCAUGUUUUCCUGCUUUAACAAAAAGCAUGGAGAGAGGUACAAUCAGAACAUCUCUGACUGCAGCCAGAUUCUUGGUAAAAUGAAUAGGAAGAUCUUAGAAGAGAGUGUGCCACCAAUGCUUUCAUAGUGCCUUUCAUUUUCCACUGCCACUGAUUAUAAAUACAGUGAAGACAAACCCGAAAAGCCUUUUAAAAUAAUUCUAAAGUAGUGUUGCAUUAUCUGUGGGUUUUAUGGAAAUUUGUGGCCACAGUUCAUGGUUCAAUAUCCCCUGCGUCUAAUAACAAUAACUCUGUUGUAGGAAAUUGACUGAUGCUUUGUGAAUGAUCAUUUAUUCAUAGUUGUAAUUAUUCUUUUAAGUCUCUGUAGUAUAUAAGCCCUCUUCCAUGUUCUUUUAUAGAACUACAGGACUAGUUCAAAGUAAUAAAAUUAUUUUCUUGCAUCUGCA
rnacentral:lncRNA from 1 species